rnacentral:lncRNA from 1 species
GCGGAGGAGGUCAUGGCUCAGCUGGUCGACAUCCUGAUCCUGUCCGUAAGGAAUGCUCGGGAGUGGCUGCGGAAAACGGAGCUGCGCUUGAAGGAUGAAGGUGUUGUUCAGGAAGAUGAUUACGAAAAUGAAGUUGAAGACUUUGUUGAGCUCCGUCCUAGAAGGCGAUCUCGGAAAUGUGCAAAGCAGAGAAAAUAACUAACAUCCACACAGCUGCUACUUCCUAAUCCUUCAGAACAUUCCAUCCUGACUUAGAAUCCUGCGCGCUGGGGCAGAAGAGGAAAAGAGUGAUGUACCUUGGCCAAAAAAUGUGGGGGGAGGGCUCCAGCAACACCUUUGCUUUUCGUUCUUGUUAUUUCUCUCUCAGUGGUGGCUUAGAAUCUCAUUUGUCCCUCAGAGCAGGGACCUCUUAAGUGUUUCCCAAGUUCGAGUUUGACAGGGCUCAUUCCCCUAAAACAAGCUCAGGUGAGAGGAAUCAUAGCUGAAGGGAGCCUUGGGACAUCCCCUCACCCCAAGCCCCCUGGCUCGCCAUCACCAAGACACAGGUCAGUAGCCUGGACACCCCUCACCUCAGCAUUGCCAUUGUCCUGGCCUCGGAGCACCCUCCGUUCCCCUGAUCUCCAUUCACACUGCCAGCCACCAGGACCCCAGGCCACACUCUGGUCAUCUCCGAGCCCACUCGUGGCAUGGUUCCUUCUGUUAUAUAUUAGCCGUUUUCUCUCUGUGGCAACUUUUCUGCCUGCCUUCUCCCCAUUUAUUGAGACCAUUCUCAGCUGGCUGGGCAAGUCGCAAUUAGACUACCUCAGAAUGUAGUCGAGAAUUCCCCAACGUCGUUUGGGCAGCCAGCCUCAGGACCAUCCCCCCCUAGAAGAAAAGGCUGGGGGAUGUUGCUGGGGGUUCCGGCUUAUCUCUCCAAGGCAGUCCUGACGCUGCCUUGGCUAUGGUGCAGACCUUCAAAAAGUGUUUUGUAUGGAGCCUUCUAUGUCUAGUUUCCUGGGGUCUCCCUGGCAAGUUCACUGUUGUAUCUCACCUUGACAUUCCGAUGCAUUUCCCAUGGGGACCCCAGUACCUGCAGAGGUGUAGGUUGGGGACAGGUGGACAUCGGAGAAGUCAGCCUUGUGGUGCUGAUCCGUAGGGGUUUGGCUGUGAAUCACUGCCCCGUGGCUGGCAGGUCUGGGAAGAGGAGGGGGCUGUGGAUCUGUCUGCAGGAGGCCAUUGCUGCCCACUGAGCCAUUGGUAUGUCCCUUUCCAUAAGCCUUGUGGCCACUCCCUCCAUGCCCCCAGCCCUCAGCCCGGCCUGGUGCACAAGUUCAGACUUGUGUUGGUCCUUUGCUGUUUGGUCAUCACAGAGGAACCAGCCUUCUUCCCGUCCUGCUGCUGCUUUGCUGCUCUUUGCUUUUUCUUUAUUGUCUUUCUAAAUGACUCUGUUUCCUCAAAAUGUCAGAUUUCUAAUUUUUAUUAGGUUGUGGUUCUAAUUUUUAUUCCAGGUUUUUUUAUAAACUUUACUUACUGGGGGGGGAAAAAGGAAAAAAAAAAUCAAAUCUUUGGUGAUCACAUUUUUAUAAAAUUAAAUCAUUUCUCUUAUGU